rnacentral:tRNA from 1 species
ACUUUCAAUGGGCACCAGCACGCCCACCAAUCUUAGGAGUUGGCCGCUCU